rnacentral:rRNA from 1 species
UGCCAGCAGCCGCGGUAACACGGGGGGCGCAAGCGUUAUUCGGAAUUAUUGGGCGUAUAGGGCGUGUAGGCGGUCCUAUCGGUCAGAUGUGAAAGCCCAGGGCUCAACCCUGGACGUGCAUUUGAAACAGUAAGACUUGAGUACUGGAGAGGAAAGCGGAAUUCCUGGUGUAGAGGUGAAAUUCGUAGAUAUCAGGAAGAACACCGAUGGCGAAGGCAGCUUUCUGGACAGAAACUGACGCUGAUGCGCGAAGGCGUGGGUAGCGAACAGGAUUAGAUA